AGGCCAGCUGUGUUACUUUGGGGCCGGGGGUGGUCCCGCACAGCCUCCGGCAGCCCCAGGUCACUAAGAGUUGAAGUCAUCACUUCUACUCAGCCAGGACCCAGGGCAGAGUGAGUGCAGGUGGGCAGGUGAAGGGAGGCAGUGCUAUUCUGAGGGAUAGGUGGCAGCAGAGGGUGACAAGCCUGGAUAGGGCACUGAAGACCCACUCUAGGCCACCCUCUGUGGCUCUUAUUCCUCCUGGGAGGAGUGCCAAUGGCCAGUGGCGGGCCUCAGGGGGCUCCUGCCGCAAAGGACAGUCCGUGUCCAAAUGGGGCAUGGCUAGGUCAUUUCAGAGAGCAAGGAGUUAAUCGAGUCCUUAUGUGCUCAGCCCUGGGGCCGACUCCAGAGGAGACACAAAGACACCCAAAGUUGCCCUGCAGAGGUUCCCAGCAGAGCCAGGAAACAGCCUCUUCUCCCCAGAGCUGUCCAAGAAAGCAAGACGUUGGAUGGGCCCAAACAUGCUGUGGACAAUGGGUGGAUUCUGAGUCCCACAGAACGUGGGUGGGUAGGAAUGGCAGCCAGAAAACUGCUCUGUGCAUGUAGCUGGGCACUGCCAGGGUGGCUCUUCCAUCCCUGAUGAGUGCCCUCCACCAGCCCUCUGCUGAUGCCACCCAGAGCUCACGUCCUCACAUGUUCUGACUGUGUGCUAUGCUUUCCAGGCACCUUCAUUCCCAUCUCCCUGCAGGACCCACUCACAGGACCCCUGAGAAAGAGACAGAGCAGGGGCACCCCUCUCCCUCCACUCCACAGAUGGGGAAACUGAGGUCUUGUGGCUGCCAUCUCUGGUGUACUCUGAUUCCAUCCCUCGCUUGAGGUCACAUAGCUGAUCAACAGCAGGACUGGGUCUAGAACCCGGAUUCUGGGCACCCAGUCCAGUGCAUUUGUACCUCAACAGCCAAGUUAGGGCCUUGCUGCUAUGACUCUGGGGUGCGUCAGAAGGAAUUUGGGAGGCUCCUGCUUCCCCUAUUCCUGCUGCUAAUAUGAAGUACUAUAGAUGGUGUGGUAUAAUCAAGAGUUUUAUUUCUAAUGUUUCUAGAGGCUGGAAGACCUAAAUCAAGGUGCUAGCUGACUUGGUUCCUGGAGAGAACCCUCUUCCUGGUUUGCCGACUGAGGCCUUCUUGUUGUGCGUCCUCAUGUGGCAGAGGGAGCAGUCAGAGAGCUGGGGGUGGGGGAGAGGUGGGGGCUCUGAUCUCUCUAUAAGGCCGCUAACCCACCCUCAUGACCUCAUCUAAGCCUAAUCACAUCCCAAAGGCCCCACCUCUUAAUGCUAUCACAUUGGGGGUUAGGCCUUCCACAAGCGGUUUUUGGGGGGGACACAGUUCAGUCCAUGGGACCCUCUAGGUCAUGUAUGUAUCAAACGUCAUUGCUCAGCCAACCCUGAACACGCACUAAGGGUCAGGCACUGUUAGAUCGCAGAAGGACCAGGAAGCGCAAACGGUGGAACGGGAGCACCUGUGAGCCUGGAAACGGGGAAAGCUUCCCAUAGGGCUGGUUUUGGUUCCUGGUGCCCAGGGCUCAGGCGAGUAGAGCAGUGGGAAGGGAGGCAGCUCAUUUCUGGGCUCAGAGUUGUGGAGAUGUCCCCCGGACAGCUGCCUCCCCAUGCUGGCCUUGUUCUCUGCCCACAGAUACCCUCCUGGCCCCUAACCCCGCACGGCACGGGAGCCCAGGAUCCCAGAGAGCUGUGAAGGAAGUUGUGAGUUUGCUGGGGCGCCAUUUGCAGUUUCAGCUCUCUGAAGCCUCAGCCAGGAAGUGAUCUGUCCGUCUGCCGAGGCAUGGGUUUGACCCAUGGGGCACUGACCUGGCCAGGGCUUUGCUGCCUGCCUGGCUGCUGUGACUCAGUGUGCAGCUGGCAUUUUCCAGAUGAUGACAAGAGCCCCAGGGACUCCUGCUUCUAAGCACAUAGAAGUGUGCUGCAGAGGGUCACUUCCUUGAUGUCUUGUUCCCAGAGCAGCUCUGCCAUUUGUCUGCAGGAGCCUGGGGGGCAUCGGAACUCCACCCAGCUGGACUCCCUGGCCAUCCAUCCAUCCUGCCUACUGGAGGGCCCACGGCGCAGCUCCCAACCUUGUCAGCUUGAAAUUAAAGAUGUGCUCUGUGGAACAGGGUCCUCUCCAGAGAUGCUGCGCUUUGAUUAUCCCCCCGGAAGGAGCAGCUGAUUUGGUUUCUGCUGUGGCGCUCUGGGCGGCAGGCCGGGGAGAGCCAGGGGAGGGCGAGAAGGGUGGAGAAGCAGCCGGCCCUGUGGAGCAGAGCGCCUUGCAGAGCCGAGGGAUCCAAACAGCGGGCAGGGAGCAGAAUGACCUUGUGUUUCCAUGGCCACUGUGCCAGCUCAGAGGAGAUCCUGUCAGAGAGCACGAGGCUGCUUAAGAUGGACCCACUGGAGGGUCCCAAGGACAGAACAGGAGGGCGCGUGGUGUACAUGGAUUUGCUGAGGGGCCAAGCUCCCUUCUUUGCCCUGAUCCUUCCCAUGCCUGAUAAGUUUCUUCAAAGAGAAAAUGCAAUUCUGUCUCCUCUCCCCAGCUUGCUGCUCAUAAUCCCACGGGGAAGGACCUUGCUCUGCAAAGCAAUGCAAAGAAGUAUGGGUGGAGGGGGGCAGGAGUGGGGUCCCUGUGUGUGCACUGUCUGCCUAAGGGACACAGUGUCCCCUGGGAUCUCUCUGUGCCUUGAGAUCCAUGACACUGGCCCGAACCUGUUACAUACCCUAUGGAAGUUCAGAGGUCUCUCCCAAGACCUCUCAGAAUUUCCAGAGGAGUGAGUUUAAGUUCCCGUGAUCCCCUCAGCUGAGCUCACGCUUCUGCUGGGCUUGCUCCGUGUAUGGACGUGUGCCCUGGCCCACAUGCUGCCCCAGUUCUGCAGUUUCUACUUAGAUGUGGGAUCCAAUUCCCUCCUUCAUUUUAUACCCCAAAGUCCUCACACCUGGCAUCCACACCCGUGUCAGCCUUGAGACUUAGGUGUGGGGAGACAGAAAAUCAUAUUUUGGGGGGUCAGUACCUGUUGAAAGUGGGGAAAAGCUAGCACUAGCACUUAAAGCAUGAGAGACCAAAAAGGUCUGGAUCAAAUUGAUAUAAAUGACUUUUUAAAAUAAGUUAACAGAUUAUUGAGGUAUAAUUAACACACAAUAAGCCAUCCAUAUUUAAAGUGCUUGAUUGGAUACUUUUUGAACCAUCAGCACCAUGAACAUGGCAGACAAAUCUGCCUCCGCCUGUCGCCCUGUCCCCACACCCCAGGCAACCACCUGCCUGCCUUCUUCCUGCCUCUGCAGAAGGCUUUGCGUUUCUUAGAGUUUUAUAGAAAUGGGAUCCCGUAGUAGGCACUCUUCUUGAGAUGAGAGGUUUUAUAUCCCAGAAAUGCAAACAGCUUCAUGUGGCAUAUUUGACAUACUUAUUCUUAAAAUGCUUUGCCCACUCCACCGCGAUGCCCUGCAGCCCCCACACCGCCAGGCUGUUCUAUGUCCUGCUGCUCCUGAAUUUCAUCUCAAUUUUAAUGCAGAGCCAUUCAGCUAUCUUUUUGUUUCCUUGACUUCUGUUAAUCCAUAUCCUUAGGGACUUACCAAGGUAAUUUCCUGAACAAAAGAGAGUUCCCUCCCUAAGAUCAAUUCCAGUGUCAGCUGUUAGGAUAAAUUUUUUAUCCUCUUAUGCCUAGUGAGUGUGUGGAUGUGCACUGUUUGAGAGAGUGUAGGAGUGUGUGUAGUGUGUGUGUGUGUGUGUGUGUGUGUAUGCAAGCACAUUUGGGAGUAGAAGCAUGGAUGAGGCAAAAGGAGCUAUUUUUUUCAGAAACAUUUACUGAUGCCUACCUGUAUCGCUGCCUACCUGUAUUGAUGUCUACCUGGCUAAGUGCUUUCAUACAUGAUUGCAUUUAGUCUUCACAGCAGAUAUGUGACCCAGGAAUAAGAAUUCACUUUAACAGAUGGGAGAGUGAGAUUCAAAGAGGCCAAAUAAAUU